UACAGAGGGUGCAAGCGUUGUCCGGAAUCAUUGGGCGUAAAGGGCGCGUAGGUGGCCCGGUCAGUCCGUGGUGAAAGCGCGGGGCUCAACCCUGCGUCGGCCAUGGAUACUGCCGCGGCUGGAGCACUGUAGAGGCAGGCGGAAUUCCGGGUGUAGCGGUGGAAUGCGUAGAGAUCCGGAAGAACACCGGUGGCGAAGGCGGCCUGCUGGGCAGUAGCCGAAAGGCUUUCAAGCUGACACUGAGGCGCGACAGCGUGGGGAGCAAACAGG
rnacentral:rRNA from 1 species